GUGGCUUGUGCCCUCCGACUGAGGUUUGUGCAGGGCCCAGGAAAGGUUAGGGCGUGGCCUGGUGCCCAGUCAGCUCAGCUGUCCCCUCCUGGUCCAGCUCCCCCGCUCCGCGGGGUCAGAGGCAGGGAGGAGUGCCUGCAGGGAGCUGUGUCUCUUCCCCACUGGUGGGGUCAGCUGGGCGCUGAGGCCUUGUCUGUGGCUGUUCCCUGCUCUGUGACCUGUCUUGAGGGCCAGUUAACCCAGUGCCCUCCCUAGACCUGACUGCAGUAACUUUUACAUUCGAAACCUUCAACUGCGUCCCAUCCCUAGGACAGAAGCACAAUGGUUCUCAGCCUGCCCCGGGGCUAAGGCCCCCAGCUGUGGCCACCCCACCCUGCCCUGCCCACAGCCCUCUGAGGGAGCUCCGGAAGCUGGAAGCAGAGCACGGGGCAGGAGGGAAGUCGGUGUGUCCUUCCCCUCUCCGUCCGUCCGUCCGUCCGUCCGUCCUGCGCACGGCGAGCGUCAGAGGCUGCGCACAGGAGCACCAAGCUGCCGCCUUCUGAAACCCACUGACCUCUUCGGGGGACCAGUGGGCCGUCUGCCGUGGGGCUGGCGUGUGAUAUUUGGUGGUGUGUGUUCUUAUGUGUUUGUUGGUUACACGUGUCUUGAAAUGUAGAAUCAUUUUCCACGGAAUCAUUGCUUUAUCAAGAAGAGAAAAUGGGCUGGAAGAAGCCUGGUCUUAGGUUUCUGGCCCUGUUACCAUUUAAAAUUGACAUUUAAUUUUUCAAAUCGCUGUUGGUGCCUAAUCACUUAAGUUAUUAAUUUAUUGUUUUCUUUAAAAAAAAAUGUAACAUGUAUUUAUCCUGUAAGUAGGUCUGGGGUGGGAUGGGAAUGCGUUCACAGGCGUCCUGUUUUUGCGGUGGUGGCACAGGCCUGGAGCUUGCAGGGCCCUUGUUACUGGAGGCGGAGCUAGAUGACAAUAAAGUCCAUGAGAAG
rnacentral:lncRNA from 1 species